AGAAUGCUGGAGUGAGUUGCCAUUUCCUUCUCCAGGGGAUCUUCCUGACCUAAGGAUCAAACCUAUGCUUCCGGCACUGGCAGGUGGGUUCUUUAGCACUGAGCCACCAGGGAAACCCAAAGUAGAAAUACUGAAGGACAAAUAUACUCCUGAAACACUAUUGUAAACUUUGGGUAACUUACACCAAUAACAAUCUAUAAGAGGCUAGUUGUCUCAAGUCUACCUUUAAGCCAUCUUUUAUGACGCUCUCAUACCAACUCUCUGUCUUUGCCCAUACAGACAUAGGGACCAGUCUAAGAUUCUUCAAGCUUUAUUUACAAUGCUGUGCUCUGCUGCCAUGUCCUGGUUAUUCCUUGUGUCAUACUCUACCCACUGGGCUUUGGACAGUUCCUAGAGAAUCUUCAGCGCUUCAUUCUCAAAAUGUCAAACACAGCAUCAGCAACUUCAUAUAUUAAGCUUCUUAGUAAUUCUAACUCGAGCUGUGGAAUUUUGAAACUGAGAGACCUCUGAAAUGCAACUCACCUCUCACGUUUACACUGGAGGAGAAGGUAGGCUGAAGCUAGGCUCUGAAAUCUAGAAGUUACCUGCCUAAGGUCACACAGCUAGUCCUCCGCUAUAUGUAAUUAACCUUAGCAGCUAAUCUCUGGAGUUUCAUUAAACAAAAGUAGGUUAAUAAAAAGGAAGCCUUUGGAUUUUAGAUAUUGGUAGAGUGGGGCUAUAGGGCUAUACUAGGACUUGGAAAAUUAAUUUGAUUUCUAAUUCAUGACAAUGUCUUCAUGAUGUCAAUGUUCAGAGGGACCAGUCAGGCAAAGGGAUGUUCCUUAAAAAUGAAAAGCCACUGUAAUGCUGAAUUCUACCAAGAGCUACACAGUUAUGUUCAAAAUAUACCGUUUAAUUGGAGGAAGAAAUUAAUUUGGUUGUCCUGAGGGCAUUUA
rnacentral:lncRNA from 1 species